UACGAAGGGGGCUAGCGUUGCUCGGAAUCACUGGGCGUAAAGGGUGCGUAGGCGGGUUUUUAAGUCAGAGGUGAAAUCCUGAAGCUCAACUCCAGAACUGCCUUUGAUACUGAAAGUCUUGAGUAUGGGAGAGGUGAGUGGAACUGCGAGUGUAGAGGUGAAAUUCGUAGAUAUUCGCAAGAACACCAGUGGCGAAGGCGGCUCACUGGCCCAUUACUGACGCUCAUGCACGAAAGCGUGGGGAGCAAACAGG
rnacentral:rRNA from 1 species